GCCUGCUGGCUCAGUUGGUAAGAGUGUGCAACUCUUGACUGCAGGACUGUGAGUUCAAGCCCCACGUUGGGUA
rnacentral:tRNA from 1 species